GCAAGUCGAACGAGAACACCGAACUUCGGAUUGGUAAGUAAAGUGGCGCACGGGUGAGUAACGCGUGGGUAAUCUACCCUUGAAUUUGGGAUAGCAUUGCGAAAGCGAUGCUAAUAUCGGAUAAAGUCUAAAAUUUUUUGGAAAUUUAGAUGAAAGAUAGCCUCUACAUGUAAGCUAUUGUUUGAGGAUGAGCCCGCGUACCAUUAGCUAGUUGGUGGGGUAACGGCCUACCAAGGCCGCGAUGGUUAGCUGGUCUGAGAGGAUGAGC
rnacentral:rRNA from 1 species